GACGAACGCUGGCGGCGUGCUUAACACAUGCAAGUCGAACGGAAAGGCCCUGCUUUUGUGGGGUGCUCGAGUGGCGAACGGGUGAGUAACACGUGAGUAACCUGCCCUUGACUUUGGGAUAACUUCAGGAAACUGGGGCUAAUACCGGAUAGGAGCUCCUGCUGCAUGGUGGGGGUUGGAAAGUUUCGGCGGUUGGGGAUGGACUCGCGGCUUAUCAGCUUGUUGGUGGGUUAGUGGCUUACCAAGGCUUUGACGGGUAGCCGGCCUGAGAGGGUGACCGGCCACAUUGGGACUGAGAUACGGCCCAGACUCCUACGGGAGGCAGCAGUGGGGAAUAUUGCACAAUGGGCGGAAGCCUGAUGCAGCAACGCCGCGUGCGGGAUGACGGCCUUCGGGUUGUAAACCGCUUUCGCCUGUGACGAAGCGUGAGUGACGGUAAUGGGUAAAGAAGCACCGGCUAACUACGG
rnacentral:rRNA from 1 species